GUGAGGGAGGGUGUGACUAGUGACAGAGAGAGGGAGGGAGUGACUAGUGACAGAGUGAGGGAGGGAGUGACUAGUGACAGAGGGAGGGAUGGGGUGAAUAGUGACAGUCACCACCUCCUUCACUCUGUCACUGUGUCACCCCCUUCCUCACUCUGUCACUGUGUCACCCCUUCCUCACUCUGUCACUGUGUCACCCCUUCCUCGCUCUGUCACUAGUCACCCACUCCCUCCCUCAC